ACUCCUACGGGAGGCAGCAGUGGGGAAUAUUGGACAAUGGGGGAAACCCUGAUCCAGCCAUGCCGCGUGUGUGAAGAAGGCCUUCGGGUUGUAAAGCACUUUCAGUGGGGAGGAAAGGUUGAUGGUUAAUACCUAUCAGCUGUGACGUUACCCACAGAAGAAGCACCGGCUAACUCCGUGCCAGCAGCCGCGGUAAUACGGAGGGUGCGAGCGUUAAUCGGAAUUACUGGGCGUAAAGCGCAUGCAGGCGGCCUGUUAAGUCAGAUGUGAAAGCCCGGGGCUUAACCUCGGAAUUGCAUUUGAAACUGGCAGGCUAGAGUCUUGUAGAGGGGGUAGAAUUUCAGGUGUAGCGGUGAAAGUGCGUAGAGAUCGUGAAGGAAUACCAGUGGCGAAGGCGGCCCCUGGACAAAG
rnacentral:rRNA from 1 species